CCCCCUGCUGCGGAGAGAAGUUGCUAGAACCUGUCCUCAUCCUAUCGAGUCGAGCGAGAAGCAGAACCGUAGGUAGUCCCGUUUACUGGCUGUUUUCCUCAGAUUUUCCUAUCGUUCUCUCGAAUCUUCGCUUGUAUCCAGUCACUGCCCACUUUCCUUUCUCCUGAAAGUAAGUCUGACUCGACGUAAGCUCUAGCGGUUUCUACCACAGGGUCACUGAGACCUGUUUCUUCCGGUAGGGUCUGUUCAGGCCAGAGGUCCGAAUGGGCAUUAUCGCGAGUUAGGAGUCCCGAGUUUCUUCCGGUUAGAAGCGUGAAGCUGUGUGGCCCCAAACAAAUCAAAGCCCUCUCUUCAUCCCAUCUUUAAAAUCCUCAGAUUGCGCCUCCUCGGUAAAUUAAAAUUUCAACAAAAAGGCCUCGUCAAGUGCGAUUUAAACUUAAAACCGAGUUGUGAUUCACUCUUUGGAAAGCCUCCCAUCCCCCUUUGCCAAUCCACUGGGCUGGAUAGGGUGGAGGGUGUUGGAAAAGCUGAAUGGUCUGUGAUGUUCUCCUAGCAAGGUGUUUUGUUUUGUCCCCCACUCUCCUCCCAUUUGUGAAGAUUCAGAGACCAUGUCUACAGAACUCUUUUCAUCCUCAAAAGAAGAGGGAAGGUCUCGCUCAGGACCCAGUUUUAGGUCCAAUCAGAGGAAGAUGUUACACCUGCUCCUGGAGAGAGACUCUUCCUUUACCAUCUAUCCAGGUCUCCUUAGAUCUCCAAUGGACAAACUCCUUGGCGAUUCUGCAAAUCUAAGCAUUUUGUCUGGGUAAACCCACUUUUAUUUUUAUACCUUAUCUCCUUUGCUUUACAAACAGGCUUGUUUGUUUAAUUAUCCUAGCUCAAAGAUCAGGAUUUAGGUCCCAGCUCCACUGUUGACUGUGUGACCCUUUUGAAUCUCAGGCUGCUUUUCUGUGUAAAACUGUCUCACUAGGAUCUUUUUUUUUUUUUUUUUGUGGUGUUGUGAAUUGAACCCAGGGCUUUGUGCAUGCGAGGCAAACAUUCUACCAGCUGAACUGUAUCCCAGCCCCCUCUCACAGGAUCUUGUGAAAAUCAAAUAAUGUAAUGACUGGGUAAAGUCUGAAAAUAUUCUGUUAUGAAUUGGCUGCUUUAUUAGCAUUAAUAUUAAUGUUAUUGUUCUUGUACUUUAAAUUCUGGUCAUCUGGGUUCCAUUCCUAGCACCACCAAAAACUAAAACAAAACAAAAAAACCAAAAACUGGUCAUGAUGUUUUUAUGCCUCACUACCAAAUAAGGAGAAGUAUUUGAAAAGUAUUAGAGACUGGAGGGAAAAAUCAAAUCUGUGUAUUCAUCAUAAACUGGGUAGAGGAUAUGGAUUCAAGAUUUCACUCAGUUAAUAAACUUUGGGCCUCAUUAAUUUUUUGUUUUUAAGUCCUGUCUCAAUAUCUUGGUGAAGAGAAAAUGAGGCACAUGAUGGAGUAGAGAAAAAUUGAGAGAUUUUUCGUAAUGAAGUCUGAUAUUUCUAGAAAGCAAUUAGAUACUUUUUAUAUUUUUGUGAUGGUCAUUGAGAGGUAUUUCAAAUGAAGGAUCUUUGCCUUUCAAGAUAUUACAACCUAAUGGGAAUCUUGAUGUACUAUUAUGUCUCAACAGAGGAACUCCAAAACGUUGCCUUGAUCUUACGAAUUUCAGCAGUGGGGAGAUGUCUGCCACUUACCUUACCACUUCUGCAGACCUUGAUGAAACUGGUAGGGAAAACGGAGGUAAAGGCCUCAAAGGGAAGAAUAACUUAAGGGAGAAGACAGGGAAGUAUGAUAGAAAUGGAAGAUGCUGAAAGUAGGUAGAGAAUCUACCUGAAGAAUUGGAAUUUUGAGAGUAAUUAGAGGAUUUUUUUUUUUUUUGGUACCAGGAAGUACCAGGAAUUCAACUCUGGGGUGCUUAACCACUGAGCAAUACCCUUAGUGCUUUUUAGUUUUUAUUUUGAGACAGGGCCUCACUGAGUUGCUUAGGGCCUUGCUAAGUUACUGAGGCUGGUUUUGAAGUUGUAAUCUGCCUGAGUCAGCCUCCUGAGUUGCUGGGAUUACAGGAGUAAUCCCACCUGGCAAGGAUUUUUUUUUUUUUUUUUUUAAUAAGACUGCACUUUGAAUGCCUCUGGGUACAUCUGCAGAGACCAAGCAACAUCCCCAGCCCUUUUUGCUUUAUUUUAAGGCAGGGCCUCACUAAGUUGCCUGGUCUGGCUUCAAAUUUGCAAUCCUUCUGCCUUAGCCUCCUGUGUAGCUGGGAUUAUAGGCGUGUGUUACCAUGCCAAGCUUAAUUAGAGAAUUUGAGGUGAUUAAUGAAGCCAAUGAGAAAAGAAAAAGAAUAACACUAAUAGGAACACUAAUAAAAACAAUAACAUUCUACAUUUGAAAAAGUUAGAUAAAAGGAAAUAUAUUUUAUUGACAGAUUAAUGGUACAAAAGAAAGUCCAGAAAAGUUUUGUUUCUUAGUUUAAUUUCAUCAGAGGCAAAGGAAUCAGCAUAAAUAAAUACUUUGUCAGUUGAUUCUUACACUUCUAUAGGUCUGUACCCCCAAAAAUGCUUCAUUACUAAACCAUUCUAGCAUUUCCUCUAAUUUUGGAUUUCCUGCAUAAUAACCUUUCUUUUCUACUCAUGAAUAAAAAAAAACUCCAUCACUAUUUCCGAGGUUUUCUGUUUUGUUUUGUUUGUUUUUUAAAGUUUUUAUAUUUGUAGAUGGACAGAAUGCCUUUAUUUCAUUUAUUUUUAUGUGGUGCUGGGGAUCGAACCCAGUGCCUCAUGCAUGCUAGGCAAGUGCUCUGCCACUGAGUUACAGCUACAGCCCCUUUUUUGUUUUUUUUGGUCAAGGUCUUGCUAAGUUGCUGAGGCUGGACUUGAACUUGUGAUUCUUCUGCCUCAGCCUCCCGAGCUGCAGGGAUUACUGGUGUGUGCCACAGCUCUCCCAGCUUUCCUAGUAUUUUUUCUUUGAGUAGUACAUGUAAAUUUUUAAGUUUCCAUGAAAUUGUAUUUUGUACUCUGGUAUUUUGUUCCAUAAGAUGGGUACCAGUUAAGAGCUUUGUGUUCUAGAGUUUAGCCUUUGAAAUUAAUGUGGCAUACUGGUAACAAAGAAAAUCAGAGGGGAAAACAGGAUGCAUGGGCAAGAAUAAUGCCUCUUACUGAUUCUUCAUAUUUGAUUUCAGGUCACUUGGAUUCUUCAGGGCCUCAGGAAGUACAGUUAGCUAGGAUG
rnacentral:lncRNA from 1 species